UAGAUUGUGAUAUUAGGGUUUAUUUUGGGCAUUUUGAAUCUAGGGCUUUUGAAGCUAGAUUGAUUGGAUUAGAGGCUUCCAUUAGGUUGGAUUGGAUGAGCCCUAGCUUCAUUUUGGAGCUUUAGAGGAGAUUUUUGCACUAGAGGUGAGUUCUUCUCACCUAUACUUGAUUAGCUUAAUGAUUGAGCUAUUGAUGGUUCGUUUCAUUCGUGUGACGCAUGUUUCUAUACCUCUAGGGUACUAGGAGACUAGAGGACACCCUUGUUGGAGCGCACGAGGAGUUUCGUUGCCAUCGGUGGGUUUGGCUUCGGAGAAAUGGGGCGAAAUGACCCCUAUGCUCUUUCUACUUAUUGUAAAAUAUUUUUAAGUUCAUUUCUAUGCUAAAUAGGAUUUAUAUGAAUUUUAGAGCACUUAAAAUGCAUGCCUCGUGUAUUAUGAAAAUUUCACUAUAUAGUAGAGCUAUAUGAGUAGAAUGCAUGCAUAUGGAAAAAGUGUUUAUUUUACAAGUGGAAAAUACAUCUCUUAUGAGGAUUAUGACUUGGAAUAUGUGCUUUGGAACAUAGUUGCCAUGUUUUGACAUAGAAAAUAAGAGUGUCAUAAAGGGGCACUCGAAACUAGUGAACUAUGGAACUGCAACAUAGAGAUAUAUUGAUAGGCCUUUGUACAUUUGCUAUAUAUAUUCCAUGUUAGAGACAUGAUGACAUAGAGAUAGGCCUUUGGGACACUCGAUACAUUCCAUGUUAUUAGACAUGAGGACUUGGUACUUGCGACAGAUCGUUUGACUACUUGCCAUUGUGCUCAUUCGCACAUGCUUGUGAGGGUCGCUCCCUACAAGCCGGCACUCCGGAGAUAGCCAUCGCGAUACAUAUUCGCCGUGCGGGAUAGGGCGCCGAAGUGGAUUGCCGUGGGAUAGGCUCAUCCCUAGGGUGGGGAUGAUGACUACCACGGGGCCAUUAGGCUCGGCACCGGCCAGACAGCCUUCGGGUGGGUCUCAGGGCCAUAGACAGCCUUCGGGUGGGUCUCUUCAGAUUCGACUUGAGUAUUCGUUAUGACAUGUGGACAGAUGAUGAUUUAGAGUAUUAUUUGGACAUUGACUAGAAUAGUAAACAAUAGAACUUUACUAUUUCGCAUUGUGAACAUUAUGAUAGUUGGAGACUUUUACUUCAUGCAUAGUUGUUUCAUACUUAUGCUAUUUAGGCUAAGUAGAGAUAUCAUGUUGUAGUAAGUUACAUUUUACUUACCUUUCGCUUUUCUACAUCUAUAGUCACUAACCUCUUUUGUAGCUUUGGGCCUUGUGGUGCAUUC
rnacentral:lncRNA from 1 species